UCUUGUCUUGUCUGGUUGGAAGAUUCUUGCGUUUGUUAUAGUGGUAGGCACACGUUCCCUUACAGACAAAAGCUUUGGUAUUUAAAGGACAGACUUUGUUUGAACCGUAAUAUUUAUUUUUUUUGGUUAGAAAGGAUUAAUAUAGACAACAGAGUAAUAGUUAUAGGAUAGCCGGUUAGUCUGGCUCAAAAAUAGCAAGGUCCGCACUAAAGUUUGUGCUGCUAGCUUUCACAAAUCUAUUAAAACAAGUUCCUAAAAUGUCUGUCUAGACAUGUUCUAUUGCAAACACAAGAGGAACUUCAAAAAUGCAUGUGGGUCCAAAAAUCCGCUUGCGUACUCCUUCCUUUGCCUGCGAGUCUGCUACUUGGUUUUGUUCUCUCUAAAACAGUGCUGUACUGCUGGUCGUCUCACUCUUGUCAGCAUGGAUCUGCAAAGUUCAAGAAUAGGGUCAAAAUGCAUGUUUCCAUGUUUUAGCAUAUGUAUAACCUGUUGUGAGUCAAUAUUGAUCACAAUGGGGUGGAAGUUGUUAUCCUCCACAAUUUUCAGGCCUUCCAGUACAGCUAGGAGCUCCAUUUGAUUGUUAGUAGCCUUAAAGGCUUUUAUUUGUUGUCGUUUUUAACUUUUGUCCUUAAAAUAGUUUCAAAAAAAACAAGUGAUUGAAAAUACCUCUAGUACGGAAAUAAUAAAUAAUUUCUGCUAACACGUGUUGUGUCUUGAAGGCAUAACCAGUUAUAACGAGUUAUGUUGCUUAGUUCAUACCAAAACUUGUGUGCCGAUAGAGGUAAAAGUUUAGCUCAAAACUCAAAGUUAUGUUGUAAAAGGGAGUAUAACUUAGCAAAACUACAGAUUUAGAACCCACAAGUUAUGCCAUUUUACGCCAUAACUUAAUUUCUAGUUUCUACAAAACUUGUGUCGAGCAAGACAAAAAUUCUCUAACCUUAUGCCUAAUGAAAUUAAAUCGUGCAAAUACUCCACAACAUAUGCUACAUAACUUAAUUGCAGAAACUUCUGUUUUUUUUAAAUAGCCGUUUCGCUAUGAAAAUUACUUUUUUUUUUUUUUUCUGGAGUUGAGUUGAGUUGAGUUGGAGUUGGAGUUGAAGAUGAAGUUAGAGUUAAAGUUGUGUUUGGCAUGUCUUUUAGAAAUUUUUUUAGACUUUUGAAAAAUCUUUUUUAAAUAUGAUUUUAUGCGCUCAACUUUUAAAAAUUAUCAAAAUCAUUCAACUACUAAUUUAGCUACUAACAUACAACCAAAUGUUAAAAAAAUAAUUUAUAUGUCUUCAAUUGAUAAAAUAAUUAACAACAAACUAAUUAUUAUGAUUGUUAUUCUUUUAAAAUUAGAAUAAAAAUAUCACAAGCACGAGCUAAAUAAGUUUAUCUAACCAUAAUCGAUUGAAUAGAGAAAAUAUAUUUUGAUAAAUAUGAUUGAUGGAUAUAAAUAUAUUCUUAAAUUUGUUGAUGAAAAUUCUUAAUUACUUUCACUUGAAUUAAUUAUUUUAUUGAAUUUGAUCUUUUUGAAAAAAUUUACGGAUAAAUUAUUUCUAAAUAGAUUAGUGCUAAUUUUUUGUUUCUUCUUUAUUGAUGAUAUUGAUUUCCCUUGAAUAUUAUUUUUGUUUUGAUAAAGAGAACAAACUUUUGUUAAGCUAAUUACCACAUUCGCCUCUGUUCAAAAUCCAUAAAACCAAAAUAAGGUAAUCGUCAAUAUGAAUCGUUACGUUAUGUUUGAUUUGCGAUUUUACUGAUCAUUUUUUAAUAAUUUAUUAAAAUCAUCAUAGCCAUUAUAUGACAUUAUACAGAAAAUUAAAAUGGCAAGAAAAAACUAUUAAAUUUCUCAUUUUUAAAUAACAUAAUGCACUAGGCCUUAUAUUUCUAUAAUAUAGUUCAUUAAAGACAAAAGUUAAUAUAUUUCUGCCAUAAAUUGCUAUUUAUUAUUUUUACUUAUUUUACGUUAGUAAAUUUUAGUUAAAAGAAGAAAAAGAGAUUAGAAUAUCUGUAACAAUUAAAAAUGAUGUUGUACUAUAUAAAACAAUAAUUUUUUCUUGGUGGUUGUUUGUAGUUAUAAAGGGAUUUGUGUAAAAAUUUAAAGAUUGAGUUAUAUGUAAUAAUAAUGAAAGUUGGAAAUGGAAGUGGAAAAUUGUGAAAACAACAAAAAGUUGUUUUCACUUUUUGAAAUCCAACUCCGGAAUAAUUUUUUGAAUUUUCAUGGUCAAAUAUCACAAUUUCCGAAAAAGUGAAAAAAUAAAAAUAAAAAAUCGAAAAAAAAUUUAUAACCGAACGGACCCUUAAAUUUAUGCUAGCGAAAGUAGGCCAUAAAUAAGGACACUUUGGUCUGCAAUUUUUCAAUGAAGGUAAAAAUUAAAGAUCUCUCCAAACAGAGACAAUAUGUGCUAAAACUUUAGGUGCCAUUUGGUUGAAAAAUUGUUAACUUAUCCCACCAUCCAUCACUAUGGGAAAAAUGGUGGAAUAAGUUACUCUAACCAAACAAACAAGAGAUAAAAUGAUUUUUUAUUUUACCUCACACCAAACGGGCGGUAAGAAGAAAUAGGAAUUGAUGGAUGAGGUGAGCAAGUGAAGAAGGAAGAAGAAGUUAAAUGGGUUGAGGACAAAGAAGAGCGAGAGAGAGACCUUGGGCCUUGGGGGGAUAACAGUAACACGCGGAGUUUGGUAACAAUAUGUUUGUUGAUCAAUUCUACCCUUCCUCGUCAAUUCCUGUUGGCUCUUAUAGACCGCAACUCAGGAUCACUUCGAAAUAACCAAAGACUUUUCUCGUGGAAUGGAAAUUCUUUUCUC
rnacentral:lncRNA from 1 species